rnacentral:rRNA from 1 species
AUGCAAGUCGAGCGGUAAGGCCCUUCGGGGUACACGAGCGGCGAACGGGUGAGUAACACGUGGGUGAUCUGCCUUGCACUCUGGGAUAAGCCUGGGAAACUGGGUCUAAUACCGGAUAUGACCUGCCUCUGCAUGGGGGUUGGUGGAAAGAUUUAUCGGUGCGAGAUGGGCCCGCGGCCUAUCAGCUUGUUGGUGGGGUAAUGGCCUACCAAGGCGACGACGGGUAGCCGGCCUGAGAGGGCGACCGGCCACACUGGGACUGAGACACGGCCCAGACUCCUACGGGAGGCAGCAGUGGGGAAUAUUGCACAAUGGGCGGAAGCCUGAUGCAGCGACGCCGCGUGAGGGAUGACGGCCUUCGGGUUGUAAACCUCUUUCGACAGGGACGAAGCGCAAGUGACGGUACCUGUAGAAGAAGCACCGGCCAACUACGUGCCAGCAGCCGCGGUAAUACGUAGGGUGCGAGCGUUGUCCGGAAUUACUGGGCGUAAAGAGCUUGUAGGCGGUUCGUCGCGUCGAUUGUGAAAACUUGCAGCUCAACUGCAAGCUUGCAGUCGAUACGGGCGGACUAGAGUACUUCAGGGGAGACUGGAAUUCCUGGUGUAGCGGUGAAAUGCGCAGAUAUCAGGAGGAACACCGGUGGCGAAGGCGGGUCUCUGGGAAGUAACUGACGCUGAGAAGCGAAAGCGUGGGUAGCGAACAGGAUUAGAUACCCUGGUAGUCCACGCC